rnacentral:rRNA from 1 species
UUCUGGUUGAUCCUGCCGGAGGCUACCGCUAUUGGAGUUCGAUUAAGCCAUGCGAGUCGCGAGACUUAGAAUCUCGGCGUACCGCUCAGUAACACGUGGGUAACCUGCCCUAUGCUAGGGGAUAACCUCGGGAAACUGAGAAUAAUACCCUAUAGUUCACCACGCCUGGAACGGUGGGUGGAUGAAAGCUCCGGCGGCAUAGGAUGGGCCUGCGGCGUAUCAGGUUGUAGGGGGUGUAAUGUACCCUCUAGCCAUCUACGCGUACGGGUGUUGGGAGACAUCGCCCGGAGAUGGAUUCUGAGACACGAAUCCAGACCCUACGGGGUGCAGCAGGCGCGAAAACUUGGCAAUGCGAGAAAUCGUGACCAGGGAACUCCAAGUGCAUCGGGUAAGACCGAUGCUUUUCUUGACUCUUCAAAGGUCUUGGAAUAAGGGGUGGGUAAGGACGGUGCCAGCCGCCGCGGUAAUACCGGCGCCUCAAGUGGUAGUCGCUUUUAUUGGGCCUAAAACGUCCGUAGCCGGUUUGGUACAUUCGUGGGUAAAUCAAGACGCUCAACGUCUUGAAUUCUGCGAGCACGGCCAGACUUGGGACCGGGUGAGGUGUGGGGUACUCUCAGGGUAGGGGUAAAAUCCUGUCAUCCUGAGAGGACCACCUGUUGCGAAGGCGC